UUCUCUGACGCUUGCUAGAGACUGAAGCUGACCGUUGCAGACUAGUUGGAAAUGAUAUCACUGUGGAUUUGUGCCAUUUUGCUUGUGGUGGCACGGGUUGAGUAAUCAUCUGCAGCUCCCGCAAUCUCAGAUCAGCUGCAGGGAAAUUCCACGACAGCAAAUUCCUCGACAACGAAAGAGGAGCUCUCGGCCUAUCAAACGAUCGAACAGGCCAAUAAUGCUGAGGCAAACUUACGAAUGUCGGACAGAAGCGGGCUGUUUUUAUAUGAGGGAGAUAUUGAACUAACAGAAAGACAACGUAAAAUGAUUAAAACCCAGAUCUCUGGCGGACGACGGAAGCGAGCUACUCUAAGAAGUCUUUCUCGGCGUUGGAUGGAUUCAAGCGGUCGUCCUUUGAUUCCCUACUACAUUGAGGGCAGUGUGGCACAUGCCCGCGGUGUCAUAGAUCAAGCCAUGAAACAUUGGAUGAGUAAAGUUCCUUGCCUGAGGUUCCUUCGAAGAACAACUCAUCGUAACUACAUCAGCUUCUUUUCUGGAGG